rnacentral:rRNA from 1 species
GUGGGGAAUAUUGGACAAUGGGCGAAAGCCUGAUCCAGCCAUGCCGCGUGUGUGAAGAAGGUCUUCGGAUUGUAAAGCACUUUAAGUUGGGAGGAAGGGCAUUAACCUAAUACGUUAGUGUUUUGACGUUACCGACAGAAUAAGCACCGGCUAACUUCGUGCCAGCAGCCGCGGUAAUACGAAGGGUGCAAGCGUUAAUCGGAAUUACUGGUCGUAAAGCGCGCGUAGGUGGUUUUGUAAGUUGGAGGUGAAAUCCCCGGGCUCAACCUGGGAACUGCCUCCAAAACUGCAUGACUAGAGUACGGUAGAGGGUAGUGGAAUUUCCUGUGUAGCGGUGAAAUGCGUAGAUAUAGGAAGGAACACCAGUGGCGAAGGCGACUACCUGGACUGAUACUGACACUGAGGUGCGAAAGCGUGGGGAGCAAACAGGAUUAGAAACCCUUGUAGUCC